AGAGUUUGAUCCUGGCUCAGGAUGAACGCUGGCGGCGUGCUUAACACAUGCAAGUCGAACGUGAGAAUAGCAAUAUUUGAAAGUGGCAAACGGGUGAGUAACACGUGGGAACCUGCCUCGAAGUGGGGGAUAACGAUUGGAAACGGUCGCUAAUACCGCACGGUUCUGCUCUGAUGGGAAUGGAGCAGAUAAAGAUUUAUCGCUUUGAGAGGGGCCCGCGGCCGAUUAGCUAGUUGGUAAGGUAAAGGCUUACCAAGGCGAUUAUCGGUAGCUGGUCUGAGAGGACGAUCAGCCACACGGGAACUGAGACACGGUCCCGACUCCUACGGGGGGCAGCAGUGAGGAAUAUUGGGCAAUGGGCGAAAGCCUGACCCAGCAACGCCGCGUGGAGGAUGAAGGCUUUAGGGUUGUAAACUCCUUUUGUGGGGGAAAAGAAUGGAUGGUACCCCAAGAAUAAGUCACGGCUAACUACGUGCCAGCAGCCGCGGUAAUACGUAGGUGACAAGCGUUAUCCGGAAUUACUGGGCGUAAAGCGCACGCAGGCGGUCAGAUAAGUCUGAUGUGAAACCUUCUGGCUUAACCAGAAGACGUCGUUGGAUACUGUUUGACUUGAGGCGAUGAGAGGAAUGCGGAAUCCCCGGUGUAAUGGUGGAAUAUGUAGAUAUCGGGGGGAACAUCUGAGGCGAAAGCGGCAUUCUGGCAUUAGCCUGACGCUCAUGUGCGAAAGCGUGGGGAGCAAACGGGAUUAGAUACCCCGGUAGUCCACGCUGUAAACGAUGAAUACUAGGCGUAGGUGGAGUUAAACCCAUCUGUGCCGAAGCCAACGCAUUAAGUAUUCCGCCUGGGAAGUACGGCCGCAAGGCUAAAACUCAAAGGAAUUGACGGGGGCCCGCACAAGCAGCGGAGCGUGUGGUUUAAUUCGAUGCAACACGAAGAACCUUACCCAGGUUUGACAUACAGGUAGUAGUGAAGCGAAAGCGGAACGAUCUUCGGAAGCCUGUACAGGUGCUGCAUGGCUGUCGUCAGCUCGUGUCGUGAGAUGUUGGGUUAAGUCCCGCAACGAGCGCAACCCUCGUCGCUAGUUACAAGUGUCUAGCGAGACUGCCGAUCUUAAGUCGAAGGAAGGUGGGGAUGAUGUCAAGUCAGCAUGGCCUUUAUAUCUGGGGCUACACACACGCUACAAUGGCUAGUACAAUGGGCAGCUGAAGGGCGACCUGGAGCGAAUCCCACCAAAGCUAGUCGUAGUUCAGAUUGUAGGCUGCAACUCGCCUACAUGAAGCCGGAGUUGCUAGUAAACGCAGGUCAGCUAUACUGCGUUGAAUACGUUCCCGGGCCUUGUACACACCGCCCGUCACGUCAUGGGAGUUGGUAACACCUGAAGUCGGUGACCGAACCGCAAGGGAGGAGCUGCCUAGGGUGGGGCCGAUGACUGGGACGAAGUCGUAACAAGGUAACC
rnacentral:rRNA from 1 species